AUUAAAUACCUAGGAAAACAUGGUUGGGGAGGAUGGAAGCUUUAAAGAUGCAUUUGCUCCCCAAAUUCCAGUACCUUUUGAGAACAUUACAAAUCUAUCUUCGAAAAUCAUAUUUUGAAAAACUUCAGAAAACACUCACACGCUUUAUAUGGAGCAAUCACAAAAUUCGAGAAGCCACAAAUAUUUUACACAAACCCCUACAAGAAGGAGGUCUAAACUUACCCAAUGUGAAAUGAUAUCAUCAAG